AUUGAACGCUGGCGGCAGGCCUAACACAUGCAAGUCGAGCGGAUGAAGAGAGCUUGCUCUCUGAUUUAGCGGCGGACGGGUGAGUAAUGCCUAGGAAUCUGCCUGGUAGUGGGGGAUAACGUCCGGAAACGGGCGCUAAUACCGCAUACGUCCUACGGGAGAAAGCAGGGGACCUUCGGGCCUUGCGCUAUCAGAUGAGCCUAGGUCGGAUUAGCUAGUUGGUGAGGUAAUGGCUCACCAAGGCUACGAUCCGUAACUGGUCUGAGAGGAUGAUCAGUGACACUGGCACUGGGACAGGGUCCAGACUCCUACGUGAGGCAGCAGUGGGGAAUAUUGGACAAUGUGCGAAAGGCUGAUCCAGCCAUGCCGCGUGUGUGAAGAAGGUCUUCGGAUUGUAAAGCAAUUCAAGUUGGGAGGAAGGGCAGUAAGUUAAUACCUUGCUGUUUUGACGUUACCGACAGAAUAAGCACCGGCUAACUUCGUGCCAGCCGCCGCCGUAACAC
rnacentral:rRNA from 1 species